ACGGAGGAUCCAAGCGUUGUCCGGAUUUAUUGGGUUUAAAGGGUGCGUAGGUGGAUUAUUAAGUCAGGGGUGAAAGCCCACAGCUCAACUGUGGAAUUGCCCUUGAAACUGAUAAUCUUGAGUGCGGUUGAGGUAGGCGGAAUGUGUCAUGUAGCGGUGAAAUGCUUAGAUAUGAUACAGAACACCAAUUGCGAAGGCAGCUUACUAAACCGUAACUGACACUGAGGCACGAAAGCAUGGGGAGCAAACAGGA
rnacentral:rRNA from 1 species